rnacentral:rRNA from 1 species
AGUGAACGCUGGCGGCGUGCCUAAUACAUGCAAGCUGAAAGAAGUGGCGCACGGGUGAGUAAUAAAUAGUUAAUCUGCCCUACACAGAGGAACAACAGUUGGAAACGACUGCUAAUACCUCAUAGUGUAGGAUGAGACUAUAUCGUAUCAGCUAGUUGGUAAGGUAAUGGCUUACCAAGGUUAUGACGCGUAACUGGUCUGAGAGGAUGAACAGUCACAUUGGAGCUGAGACACGGUGCAAGCACCAACAGGUGGCACCAGUGAGGAAUAUUGCGGAAUGGGGGAAACCCGGACGCAGAAAAACCGCGGGGAAGAUGAAGCUUUUCGGAGCGGAGACUCGUUGUGUCAGGAAAGGGGAACAUGAUGAAUAAGCACCGGCUGACUCCGUGCCAGCAGCCGCGGUAAUAC